AUUGAACGCUGGCGGCAUGCCUUACACAUGCAAGUCGAACGGCAGCACGGGGCAACCUGGUGGCGAGUGGCGAACGGGUGAGUAAUGCAUCGGAACGUACCUUUCAGUGGGGGAUAACGUAGCGAAAGUUACGCUAAUACCGCAUAUUCUGUGAGCAGGAAAGCAGGGGAUCGCAAGACCUUGUGCUGAUUGAGCGGCCGAUGUCAGAUUAGCUAGUUGGUGAGGUAAAGGCUCACCAAGGCGACGAUCUGUAGCGGGUCUGAGAGGAUGAUCCGCCACACUGGAACUGAGGCACGGUCCAGACUCCUACGGGAGGCAGCAGUGGGGAAUUUUGGACAAUGGGGGCAACCCUGAUCCAGCCAUGCCGCGUGAGUGAAGAAGGCCUUCGGGUUGUAAAGCUCUUUCGGCCGGGAAGAAAUCGCACGGGCUAAUACCCUGUGUGGAUGACGGUACCGGAAUAAGAAGCACCGGCUAACUACGUGCCAGCAGCCGCGGUAAAAC
rnacentral:rRNA from 1 species